AGUUUGUAAGAUAAGGGGAUUAGAUUUAGAGAGAGAAAGUUCUGGAGAGAGAGUAGGUGAGGAUUGGGUUUGGUCUUCGAAACCCUACUUUUGGCUGGAAGCCCUAGCGUUUGUUUCUCGAGAAAAUCCUGAUCGUUGAUUUUCUCGCGAAAUUUAGGGUUUUUCUUAAAAUUUUUUGGGAUUCUUUGUCGAUUCUUUGUGCGUAUUGGAACUCUAGCUCGAAUCGAUCUGUGUUGUGGGAAGAAUCGGUGAGGAUCGGGUUAGGGUUUCGGAGUUACAUGUAUGGCUUCGGGCCCUAUAGUCGGUGGUGGUGGCGGUGGCGGAGGUGAUGGUUCUCGAGAGAAGAAAAGAUGGCAAGAAAGCAAGGUCUAUACCAGAAAAGCCUUCAAGGGUCCCAAGGCUACUGCUCCACCCACCCCCACCGACACAGCCACCACCGCCGCGCUCGCCACAGCCACAGCCACAGCCACGGCCACCACCACAGCCCCAAACAACAGCGAUAACAACAGCACCCCUCAACAGCCCGUUCAAGCCGUAGCUUCCGAACACGCGAACUCGUCUCAGCAACCGCGCGAGAUCAACGCAGAAACUGCGGUGUCGGACGAUUCGUCGAGCCUCAGCCGGGCACAUCUCGCAGAGCCCAGUUCCAUUGAGGCUCCUCCGGCUGGAAACGGGGCCGUUAAACCUGGUAUUUCGAGAUUGGAAAAUCGAAUAAAGAUCAAUCUGGCGACAAGGUCGAAGCAAGAGACGCGGGAGCUUCGAAGGAAGCUGCAGACUGAGCUUGAUUUGGUUAGGUCUUUAGUGAAGAAGAUUGAAGCCAAGGAUGUGUUGGGAAGUGAGGGCGGUGUUGUUGAUGAUAGUGUGGCGAAGAGAGUUAGUUCGGAAGUGGCAUCGGUGAAUGAGUCUAGACCUUUACAACAGUCAAGACCUUUGCAACAAUCGAGGUCUUUCCCACAGGCGAAAUCUUUGUCACUGUCGAGGCCUUUGCACCAGCUAAGUAUAUCUGUCAUAGAGAAUAGUCAGGGUGGGAGUGAUGUCGUGGAGAAAGAGAAGAGAACACCCAAGGCAAAUCAGUUUUAUCGGACUUCAGAGUUUCUUCUUGGUAAAGAGAAGUUCCCCACCGAGAGUAACAAGAAGACGAAAUUGAAUGGAAAGAAGCACGGGGGAGUAGAACCAGGAUAUGGGUCUGCAAUGAACAAGUGUUUUAAGAAUUGUGGUGCUUUGCUUGAGAGGUUGAUGAAGCACAAACAUGGUUGGGUUUUUAAUAGCCCAGUUGAUGUAAAAGGUCUUGGUUUGCAUGACUAUUUUAGUAUUAUCACGGAUCCAAUGGAUUUAGGUACUGUGAAAUCUAGGUUGAACAAGAAUUGGUACAAGUCACCGAGAGAGUUUGCAGAGGAUGUAAGACUUACUUUUCGCAAUGCUAUGACAUAUAAUCCGAAAGGGCAAGAUGUUCAUGUAAUGGCAGAGGUGUUAUCAAAGAUAUUCGAGGACAAAUGGGCAGCCAUAGAGGCUGAGUAUAGUCGGGAAUUGAGGCUUGGAUAUGAAUAUGAAAUGGGUCUUCCUACACCUACAUCAAGGAAACUACCUGCCCCACCACCAAUGUUGCCCUCACAUGAAAUGAGAAGGGUGUUGGAUAGAUCGGAAUCAAUGACAUAUGCAGUUGACCCCAAAAUUAAACCCAUGAAUUAUACUCCAUUAGUCAGGACUCCUUCUUUGAAGAAGCCCAAGGCCAAGGAUCCCAAUAAAAGGGACAUGACUUUUGAGGAGAAGCAGAAACUCAGCACAAACCUUCAGAAUUUACCUUCAGAAAAGUUGGACAAUAUUGUACAUAUUAUCAAAAGGAAUAAUUCGGCCCUCUGCCAAGACAAUGAUGAAAUUGAAGUGGACAUUGAUAGCGUUGAUGCAGAGACUCUAUGGGAGUUGGACAGGUAUGUUACGAAUUACAAAAAGAGUCUGAGCAAGAACAAGAGAAAAGCUGAACUUGCUCAGGCCAGAGCAGAAGCUGCCCGGAAAAUCCAGGAAAGGAAUCCUGUCCCAGUUGUGACAGAGGCAGCAAGAGAAACUAAUAUAGAUGAAAGGAAUAUUUCCUCCUCAUCUCCAGUACAAGGAGAAAAGCAAGGAGAGAAUGUAAGUGGUUCGAGUAGUUCAAGCAGCUCUGACAGCGACUCUGGAUCCUCUUCAAGUGACUCCGAUAGCGAAACUUCGUCAGCUGAUGGAUCUGAUGCUAGGCCUUCACCUAGGACUUGAUUGUAUUCAGUUAAGGUGCGGUGAUGUAUAUCUUUUUAUACUGUGUUUGCCAUGAUCCCCCCCUCCCCCAAGGAAAGCCUUUUAGACGGAAGUUAGAAGUUUAGACGACGAAUCCACAUUUUGUUGUCUGAAGUUUUCAGAGAAUGAUGAGCACUCACAUCUGGUGGUUGUAUAGUGGAAAGAGUAUCGAGGUCUCCCCCCACUUUGCUGGCAGAGUGCAAUUUGUUUCUCAUCAUUUUAUCAACUUUGCAAUCAUCAUCAAUGGGUGCCGCCCCAUCAAAUAGCAUUGGGAAUUUGUAUGAUAAUGGUAGGAUGUAGUGUUGAUUAGAUACAGUGGGUUGGUUAGUUAAUCUCAGCACAUGUACAUUGCUAACUACUGCUACUCAUGUAAGCUGCAGCUGUUUAUUGGUCUUGUCUUUGAAGAUUCAGGCCCUAUUCUUUGCCAUCAUACACAAUAUUGUCUGUAAUCCUAGUACAUGUAGUUAUAAUCGCUUCACAUGAAAUAUUUUUUACUGAGUAGUGUCAAGUUGCUGAGUUUUGGCUGUUGGGCAGAUAAAAAACUGUGGUCUUUGUUAAAGGCAGGAUGACAUUUAACUCCUGCCCCACCACGGUUACCCAAGCAAAUGCUCUUCUGGUGAGCGUAAUAAAUGGAAUCGUUGUUACCA